AUGUAAAGGGACAAAAGCCUCACCACAGCUGCUUUCUGGGGGUGCUUCUCCCCACCCUCGCCAGGCGUGCCCCUCUGCCACCCCUCUUGGUGCUUCUGAAGCGUGCCCAGUGCUGCCUUAGCUCUCCUUACAGCAUGCUCCGUUUCCUAACCAACGGCUUGCAAAUAAGCUGUAACGAGGCUGAGGGAGCACGAUGCCAGCAGAGACAGCCGUCGGCCUGUCCCUGGAUGCGCACACCCUCUUAACUACCCUCUGUCAGCUGGGCUGCGAGGUGGGGCACGUGCAGGUUGCACUGUAAAUGGGACUUGGGCAAGCAUGCUUGUUUGACCUGAUGGAAAGAUUUAAAGAAAUCCAGAUGUCUUUGAUCCAGUCAUCCAUUGCUCACUGCUCACUUUGUUCGUCUCUCCACCGACUCGUCACGACACGAGCCGAGGAAAGGCUGCUCGGCCAGGCGGACCUCUAAAUGCUGGUGGUGUCCACAAGCAGCCAGGUAAUGGCCCAAAUGAUUCUGCAUUGGCAGCUGCCUACAGCACGCAGCUUUCUUCUGCACUGUUUUCCCCCAAGAAGCCACGAUAGCUCACUGUAAGUACUGCAUGGAGGUGUGCAUGGAAGGAGGAUGGGUCCCUCCGCAGGCUUCUGGCAGUGUCAGCGGGGCCAGGAGCUGGCAGCCGCAUCGGUCCCGCUGAGCGAGCAGGAGGUGGACGUCUCUGCCAAGCCCCGGACCCAUCAGGAGGCAGCGGGAUGCCUGCGGCCGGCAGACGGAGAUGAAAUCUCUUUUAAUGAGUGAACCACUAAGCUCUUCUGGACUCGGGGCUGUCGGCUUCCCGGAGACAGAAGCGGGCCUGGAAGGCCUUGGUGUAUGGGCUGAGCACUCUGACAAAUGUGUGUUUUGCCCCAGCAGAAUGGAUUUUAAAUGAAUCUACCAGCUAGAACUGCAAGCUUUGGAGAUUCAGCGAGCAUGUGAUGAGGUGGAAUAUAUUUGGGCCUCGGUAAAAUGUUAAAAAAGAGUUCUGCAAAAAUCAUUCAAAUUGCCUUGGCUCUAACAGAGGCUUACCAUUUUACAGGCUGCCCAAAGCACUACUAAUAAGGGAUAGCUGGUGGCCUAAUGCUGCUGGAGAGCACAGGCAGUGCUGUGAUGCGUGGUGUGAAAUGGUCAGCAAUAUUCCCAUGCAGGAGCUGGGUGAGAGAAUAGCUCUUAUCCAACUGCUGUCCCCGAAGUGCUGAACAGGGAGCAGUGGACUCCUGUGAGCUCAUAAAAAUGAUGUAGGGCUGGGAAUAACGUGGGGAAAUUUAAACCAAAUGCAGCAUGAUCCCAAAGCAUGGCAACUCACUGGACAGGCCUGGUGGCAGGAGCACUGGUUUAGGCUUGGCAGCAAGCAGUAACUGAUGCAGAAGUCUGCAGAGCUACAGACUCCCCCAAGAUAUUAUCCUUCACUUAUUUCCAUGGUAUCUGAGCACCGCAGAGAUUAUAUAAAUAGAUGCUUUCUGGAGAAACUCUUCUCUCUGCUAGGGUAUGUUAGGAAUGUUAGUUAUAAGCUUUUUUACUUCACAGUGGAUGGGUGGGCUACAUUGAGAAGACCAGGGCUUGUUUUUAGGCUCAGUUACAGCAAGAUCAUCCCAUUCCAGUGCAAGGCAAAAAGACUCCGUGUUUCCCAGGGAUAGCAGGAGCCAGCAGGGUAUUGCAAUGGGAUUCAGUGCCCCAGGCAGCACUGGCUGCAGAGGGUCAUGCAUUUGGGGCAGGAAGAGCUGCACAAGCCCUGUGCCUUGCACAGACCUAACUGGUGCCCGUGGAUCAUAACGCAGCCUCGAUGAUCUAUAGAUGAUAAACGAUGAGCAAUGGCAGAGUCGUCAGCUUGAUCCAUGCCCAGCACUGACUGUUCCUGUGAGUGCCAAGAAAGGAAAAAAACGACAAUUUCAUGCUGCCCUGGGACAUUCUGCUUGUGCUGGAUGAACACUGAAUUGCAGCUGACUGCAAAGGGAUGCUUAAACCUCGCAAGCUGCUGUUUGUAUGCAGCCUUCACUCUUGGUUUUGUUCCAGUGCUUACAUGAAAAUUUGCUUUUCAGAAUUGCCCAGGAAAUGGAAAUCACAGGAAAUUCAUACUGCAGAUGUAGCUCUUUUUUAAUUUUUUUUUUUUUUUUUCUUUUUGGUGAAGUAUGCCUCACAGCCCUAGGCUAGCUACUGCAAGGUGACACAAUCUCGGUCUGUUAGUGGUGAGGAUUCACUGAAGGUAUUCGGCUGCAGGGAGCUGUGGAAACAAGGACCAUGCCAGUCCACGCCUCCCAAGGAACACUUCACCGGGGUGCUCAGAGCCCUGCGUUCCCAGCUGGCUGAUCUCUUUCAUACACAGGCUGUAGAAGGAUGGCAAAUAGCGGUGCCUUCCCGGGGAGCAAGUAGACUUGCAGGAAAAUCCUUGCAUUGUACUCAUGCAAUUAAUGCUGCUUCCCAGGAAACUUCGUAAACCUUCCUUCACCUUGUUUGAAAAUUCAUGAAAAAUAAGUGUUUUUUUUUAAUUAUUUAUUUAUUAUUUAUUUUAUUUUUCUUUUCUUUCUCUCUUUCUCCUCUUUCUCUCUCUCUCUCUCUCUUUUUUUUUUUUUUUCCCUGGGAAAUAUUAGCAAUAUAGUAUUUUCCUCACUAGAGAUUUUUUUCUUGCAUAAUUUUCUUCUGUUUCUCCUCAUGUUUGUAAGACUUUUAUUCAGUUCUGGUAGGAGGAAGAGGAACAGAAAACCAGAUCUUUGGCAGUUUUAAUUCCAUGUGGAGCUGAAUGAAACACAGAGGUGCCAUAUCCCUGUGAGCUGAGGCUGGAGCACUGUGUGGCUGCACGUGCAGGGUAGGACAGCAGCACAAAGGUGAGAGUUAGCCUUCUGCCUUGCUGCCUGACCUGCUGUCUGACCGAGCACCUGCCUGCAGCUGAGCUUGGCUCUGCUACCCAGACUUUUGCUCAUAAACUCAAGUCUCUGCCAGAGUGCUCCCUCCAGACGGGCUGAUGUGACAUCACUGCUGAAUAAACAGAAACCAAUAUCGAGUGGAUUUGCUGGAGAGCGCAUUCAAGACCACAGCUAUUACACCAGAUAUCUGAGUCAAUCAAAAUAUCAGAGACCUCCCAUGAUUAAUAACCAUUGGGAUAUCUAAUCCAUGCUUUAAAGCAGUUACAGGCAGGCAAGGAAAGCAAGAGUUACUCCCCAAGAGUGAUACUUGCCUAUGAGAAAAGAAAGAAAACAAAACGAGGCAGCACACCAGCCUGGAAGCAAUGUGGAGCCCUGGUACAACUCAUGAUACCUGUCUGAAAUUAGAUGCAGUGCACCCCAAUGUGGGGCUGGUGGGGAUGCUUGUAUCUGCUUGGGCUGCCUGUGACCAUGGUGGUGCUGCUGUGACACCACCGGGGAGAAGACCCAAGGGGCUACACCAACAUUUCAGUGGUACUUACAUGAGCAGGAUGCGGCCAGUUGUUGUUUUAGUGCUUCUAGGCUUUCCUUAGGCAUGGGGGAAAAGUUAAUUGCCGUCUGAAAGAGGAAGCUGCAUUUUGUGGUUGAAAGAUUAUUUCCCAACCUCGCGGUUAGCAGAGGAGUCCCAAAGGGGCAACACAGGCCGGAGGAGAAGUGCACGGCAAGUGCAGAUGAAUAGGGGAAGUUGUGUUUGAUGAAUGCGUUCUGCUGCUGCUGGGGUGAUUAAAGGGUCUCUCUUCUCCUGCUUGCUUUGUGGAGCCAGAGAUGCUCCAACACGGUACAGAUGGGUGCUCUAGGGCCAAUGUGGAUGUCUGGGGAUACACCUGAGGUUCAGGCUCUGGGGCUAGUAUGUGCUGGAGCUGUACAAAGACAGGAGCUUCAAUGUACUGGUGGUGUCUGGGCAGCCCUGAGUGAGCCACCAUGCACACCAGGACUGCUGGCAGCUCUGGCAAGGAGCAGGACGGCUCUGGCCUUGCUCGGCUUGGGCUUGCCACAGGUGCCCUCAUGGCAUUGCCUCUGCCAGCACCAGGAGCUUGUUCCAGCCCAGGAGCGCCUGAGCACUUCAAGGCUUCUUGCUCUGGCGAAGCAGAAAAGAGUUAACUCCCCCUCAGUUCUCCUCCAGAAGAGAGAAGAUUGAAAUGUUUCAUACUGUUCUAUUUUUAAAUCGUUCAAGAAAUGUAUUGCUAACAGAAGAACAGCAUAACUGACGUUUCCCAGAAUCAGCUGGUGAAAGUGCACAGCGCAGCUCCUCUUGGGCAGCCCAGGCAAGGUAAAACGACUCAAAAUAGAUUGCAAAUAGAAAGAAAAAGCAGGAAACCAUUACAGAGCUCUGUAGGCAACACCCUGAAGUCCAUUUUAGCUGUUAGCCAUUGUACUUAAGGCAAUAGAGAGCAAUUAAGCAAGGAGACCACUGGAAGGUUUGUUUCCCCGUUGUAUCCCUGAAAUAGCUCCAGCUCAUUGCCAGUGCAAGGUAUCACACUGAUGGGGGCAGAGAUCAAAGGCAUCUGCCCAGCUGCCACAAAAAGCUCUGUAACGAGGGUCUGCAUUAACGUGAGAGGGCCUCCUGCCACUCCUGGGGGGUGGACUUUUGGGUGAUGCCGACCUCUCUCCACCAUGAGCAGGGCUGAGAGCCACCAACUCUCUUCACGGAGUCCAACAAUUGACUCUCCUAUUCCCCUAUGGAGGCAGCAUGCGGCAUUAAUUAAUGGACAUAAAACUUGCUUGGAAGCAGGCACGGGUAUGACAGCUCCUAAUAGCCGUACAUGAAGGGCUCUGAUAUGCCUGUGUAACCAGACAGCGACUGCUACGCUUCGGCAGCAGGCUUAGAACAUCUUUCUGAGGGCUUAUUAUUUCUGAGGGCUGCUAAGCGUAAAUUUUGCAGUGGUUCUCCAGACUAAUUUUCAUGUAGAAUAAAUUCAAGCGUGAAUGAAUGUGGGCUGUUGUGUGGCCUGCAUUAGCUGGGAGGUCAGGCGAGGAAAUUAGCCCAGUCUCUGGUGACCUUGUGACGUGGGAAGGAAAGCAGCCCCUUGUCCAGGCACACCAAGGAGCGAUGGAGCAGGCAGUGCUGAGGGCGUGCUGCCCACAGGUAGGUGCCGUGAGGAGCCUGUCACAAAACACCCUUCUUGGUGAAGUGGAUGGUGACAUUUCUACCCAGACCUCAAAUGCGGCUGCCCCGUUUCACCUGCCUCCAGCGCUGCUGAGGUGAGGGAUGGCUGAAGAAAGGGUCUCCCCUUUCUCUGUGGGCUGGCAGAAGAGCAAGCUGAUGGGUGUGUGAGCAACACGGGCACAUCUAGCGUGUGACUUGUGGGGCCUUCCACACUUACAAACUGUUGUCUGUAAAUAUUUGUGGUGACAGCUAGCAGCAGGCAGGUAAAAUGCACGGAGGUGGGGACAUUUCCAGUCACAAAGAAGCACUGCCAGCAGGUACCGGUGAUAGCAUAGAUGUGCCCUUGGCCAAAAUACAGCUGUUGGGAACUGCCUGGGGACCUGGCAUGGGUUACACAGCGAGCAGCUGCUGUGCAGAAAGCAGCAGGUACGUUUUGAUUCAGCCUUUCCCUGCAGGGCAGCUUUUAGGUAUAAGGAGUCUACCGACUACAGGACAAGUACCACAAGCUAGGUAGAGAUAGUUGUUGGAAGAUCACUAACACGCUUUAUUCUCUGGUAGAAACUUUGUGUUUGUCCCUUGAUAGGGAUCCAGAAGCCCACUGGUGACAUUUUUGGUCUAACGGUGAUAUUACUGUGUCUGCAGUACUCCUGCCAGAGGGCAUGAGAUUUGACGCUCCCUGUUCAGGAGACUUGUCUGUACAAAACCAAAUAUUUUUUUUUUGUGGUGAGGUCGUCUAAAGCAUCUGGCAGCCUUGUGCAGAACAACCGGGCCUAUCUUCUUGUCUGCUUCUGUCCUACACAGACCGUG